GGGCUAUAGCUCAGUGGCAGAGCACCCGUUUACCACGUAGAAGGUCCCAGGUUCAGUCCUUGGCAUCUCCA